rnacentral:misc_RNA from 1 species
GAUGAAGAACGUAGCGAAAUGCGAUAAGUAAUGUGAAUUGCAGAAUUCAGUGAAUCAUCGAAUCUUUGAACGCACAUUGCGCCCCUUGGUAUUCCGGGGGGCAUGCCUGUUCGAGCGUCAUUAUAACCCCUCAAGCUCAGCUUGGUGUUGGGGCCUGCCGACUGGCAGCCCUUAAAAUCAGUGGCGGCGCCAUCUGGCUCUACGCGUAGUAAUUUCUCUCGCUAUAGAGUCCCGGUGGAUGCUUGCCAGCAACCCCCAACUUUCUAUGGUUGACCUCGGAUCAGGUAGGGAUACCCGCUGAACUUAAGCAUAUCAAUAAGCGGAGGA